rnacentral:tRNA from 1 species
GCAUUGGUGAUUCAGUAGUAGAACUCUAACCUCCCAUACAGGAGACCCAGGUUCCAUUCCUGGCCAAUGCA